AACGGCCGUACCAUGCUGAAUAUACCGGUUCUCGUUAGAUCACCGAAGUCAAGCAUCAUUGGGCGCGGUCAGUACUUGGGUGGGUGACCACCUGGGAACACCGCGUGCC